rnacentral:lncRNA from 1 species
GAAAAACAUUAAAAGCCUCUAUCUCUUUAUUUCAGAGACUUGGUGAAUUUUCCCACAAAGCUGCAAUGAAGACAGAGGGAGAACAAAAUCUAUAUAAAGAGAAAUUACAAGAAGGUGUGAUAUAACACUCGAACAUAUAUACUCAUUUUGACAAAACGUGUUUGGAGCUGAAUUCUUUCUCUGCAUUUGAGUCUUUAUAAGAUAAAAGUACAUACCUUUAGGGAACUAUUAGGGAACUAUUAACUCUAAAUCCCAAUACAUGAAGUUAAUUUUAAUUGGCAAAAAGUUAAUUUGACAUUAUUAUUAAAAAUAUCUUUUGGGUUUGUUCAUUUUUUUUUCUUUCUUUUCUUCCUUUCUUUUUUACUUGUAGUUCUGGGAAUUGAACCCAGGGCCUUUCUCUUGCUAAUCAUGUAUUUUACUACUGAUUACACUCCAGCCCAAUUUUCAAGUGUCAUUUAAUUGAUUUAUUCAAGAUUAGUUAUGUUUCAGAGGACAUUUGAUUUGAAAAUUGGAAAUCCUGAGAAAGUCAGCUCUUUAGUAGAUUUUUGAAUAGUUUAACAAGAAAUUUAAGGGCAAUUUUCUCAAGAUUCUCAAAAACAAUAACAAAUAAUGACUAUGGGGAGGGAGAUAUAAAGCACAUGUGUAAAACCGUUAACAAUUGGUGUAGUUGGGUGGAAGUCAUGUGGUAUUCGUUGUACUGUUCUUGUAUAUUUUCCAUAGUUUAAAAAUGUUUCAACUAAUAAAUUUUUUUAAAAGUUUCAAAUUAAAAACUAGAAAAGCAAAAAAUGUUAUCACAUAACUUACACAUAAGAGAUUGUGUCAUAACUCAUGCAUAGUAGAUUCAUAGAAGGGAUUAUUAUGCAGCAUAACCACAACUAUAAUAAAUAUACCAAACAUAUCAGUCUAAGAAGUUUUGGAUGAGACCUACUAUUCUAGCAAAUUAAGGCCUAGUCUCUACCAUGGUUGGACCCCAGACUGGUAUUCAUCUAACACAUACUUAAUUAACAAUUACUGAAUAUGAGACUCUUUACAGGGCUUAUAGCAACCAAUAUUGUAGACAAAAUUUCUGCCCUCCUGGAGCUAGGAAAGACAUAAAAAAGCAAAUACCCAUACCAUUGAUUGUGUAAUGGUAAGUACUAGAAAGAAAAUGAAAAUUACUAUUACUUUGAUAGGGUAGUCAGUGUAGGCCGGCCUCUCGAGAGGUGACGUUGGAGUAAAAGCUUGAGCAAACCAGGUGUGGGCUCUGUGCAUCUGGAGAGAAGUUUCUAUGCAAAGACCAUGAGUCAGGUGGAUAAGCAGCCAGUAUGACUUAAUGAAAUGAAGGAUAGGAACCAGCCAGAAGAUGAGACUGGGCAGGUACUAGGGCCAGAUCAUGGUUUGGCCUUAUGAACCAGUAAGUGAACAGACAUUGAGGAGAAAAGAUCUUUAAUAGAAUGUAAUAUUAUCAAAAUCUUUGUUCAGAAAACAGUUUGGUAUUUUCUCAAAAUGUUGAACAUAGAAUUAUCAUAUUACCCAGCAGUUCUACUUCUAGGUAUGUAUUCAAAAUAAUUGAAAGCAGAGUCCCAAAGAGAGAUUUGCAUACCCAUAAUCAGAACAGUAUUAUUCACAAUGGCUGCAAGGUGAAGCAAAUUAAGUGUUCAUUGACAAAUCAAUGAAUAAGCAAAAUGUGAUAUGUACACAUACUUGGAAUAUUAUUGAAUUUUAAGAAGGAAUAAAAUUUUGAUACAUGUUACAACAUGGAUGAAACUUGAAAAGUGUUAUACUAAGUGAAAAAGAAAGAAAAAAUACUGUAUGAUUCUGCUUAUAUGAGAUACUCAGAAUAGACAAAUUCUCAGAGAAGAAAAGUAGAACAGAGGUUACCAGGGUCUAAGGGUGGUGAGUAAUGGGGAGUUAUUUUUUAAUGUGUGUGGAGUUUCUGUUUGGAAUUAUGAAAAAGUUCUGGAAAUGGUUAGUGGUGGUAGUUGCACAAUAUUAUGAAUAUACUGAAUGCCACUGAGCUGUACAAUUAAAAUGGUUAAAAUGGCAAAGUUUAUAUUAUACAUAUUUUAGUACAAUCAAAAAACUUUCUUUAUUUCUUCAUUAUUCCUAUUAUUUACUUUAUCCUCUCAAGUAACUGUUUACAAGGACAAGGACUUUAAGAUAUGGAUACUUUCUAGUAGUAUUUUUUUUUAUAUUGGGAAUUAAACCCAGGGACACUUUACUACUGAACCACGUUCUUAGCCUUUUUUAUUUUUUUGAGACAGGAUCUUGUUA